GCUUCGACUCCAACGAUUCAUCUUCAUCUCAUUUUCUAUUCCGCUUCAACAAAAGGAAAUCUCAAACCAGAAGCCGUUACCCAAGAAAAUGUACUUUAAUUCACCAUCAGAGAUGCUUCACACUAAAAUCACCACUACAACCUCAAACCACGAUGGAGAAUCCAAAACGUCAACCGUUCUUAAAAAAUUCCAUUUCACUUCCACAUCUCCAUCCUCUUUAUAUACACAUCGAGCAGUCCCCGAAUUAAAACGAUAGUGGUUAUAUCUAGAUACCCAUAGACCGAGUCAAGAGGCCUCAAGAGAUUUUGAUUGGAGCCAAUUUCAUCUUCAGUUCGAGAGGUAGGACGCUGCGCCAUUGUUACAGCGCUGGGGGAAGGCAAAUGAGAUUUAUGGAUGAAGAAGGGUCACACAUCAGGUUACUAUAAGGUGGAGUGAAACGUAUUGAGAUCUCUGCAAAGUAUUUGACGGACCAGACGAUAUAGAUAUCAAGCUUAGGGAACCCCAUCGAUUUUCAAGAGACGAAGUAGUUAUUAAGGAUUGUGAAGUCCAAGCCUCAAAAGGAAUCAUGUGACAACUACCAUCUCCAUAAGGAAAAAAGAAUAUGCCCUCUUCUUCUUUUAUUGACAUCAAAGAUUGCCCUCUUUUACCAAAAAAAAAAGAUUGCCCUUUUUUGUAUGUU